rnacentral:rRNA from 1 species
GACGAACGCUGGCGGCGUGCUUAACACAUGCAAGUCGAACGGAAAGGCCCUUCGGGGUAAUCGAGUGGAUAAGGGGUGAGUAAGAGGUUGGUGAUCUGCCCUGCACCUUGUGAUCAGCGUGGGAAACUGGGUCUAAUACCGUAUAGGACCACGCGCUCCUUAGUGAGUGGUGGAAAGCUUUUGCGGUGCGGGUUGGGCCCGCGGCCUAUCAGCUUGUUGGUGGGGUAAUGGCGUACCAAGGCGACGACGGGUAGCCGACCUGAGAGGGUGACCGGCCACACUGGGACUGAGAUACGGCCCAGACGGCAACGGGGGGCAGCAGUGGGAAAUAUUGCACAAUGGGCGGAAGCCUGAUGCAGCGACGCCGCGUGGGAGAUGACGGCCUUCGGGUUGUAAACCUCUUUCACCAGGGACGCAGCGUAGGUGACGGUACCUGGAGAAGAAGCAACGGCCAACUACGUG